UUCCAUUGUGUCGCACAAGCUGAUCAGGCGCUGACUCUUUCUCAGUGGUUCGCUGACUUUGCUUCAGCGGCCCGUUGGGCUGUGCACUGCCAUCGAUUUUCAUGCCCGAGGUACUGUCUUCGGACAGUGACUUCUUUGCAUCCUAAUUUUGGUUGAUGUUGGCAGCCUUGGCAGCAACCUUAACUUUCUCCUCCUUCAUCUUCUUCUGGACUUGAUCCAUUUUUAUCUUAAGGAUAUACACAGUGGAUGCAACAGUGUUUAACCCAAUUUCGAGCUUAUUCAAUCUUUCCUCUACAAAUCCAAUCUUGGCCUCGUUGUUUUUUCUAUCCUCAAGCAUUACCUCCAAGAUCAUUUGGAUGUCAGCCUCAAAUUUGUUUUCCUUGGUAAGUGGCUCCACUCCUUUCUCUUUGCUUACAUUGAACCCUGCAGGAGAUUGGAAAAAAUUAUGAUUAUUAGCAUGGGAUACAUUUGGAUGUGGGUGAUUUCCAUUAUAAUUAUUAAAACUACCACCCCCUGACUAGGGCGAUAAUUAUUAUUAUAAAGCCUGUUGGGAUCAUCCCCAUUUUGGACAUAUUUGACAUCUCUGAUGCCAUUCCCUUCUUUGCUUCAAGUUUCUAAUUUUUCAAGUCUUGCUCUGAUGGAUGCCAAUUCCUGAGAUGUUUCAUUCCCAUAUGGUCUCUUCACUGCAUCUACCCUCUCGGCUUUAUGUUUUUCCUUGGACCAACCCCGACUGUUGGUCGCUAAUUCCUCUAUCACCUCCAUAGCAGCAACUCCUCCUUUCCCCAAGAAUCCCCCAUUAGCCCUUGAAUCCAACAAACUAGAAAUUUUUUCGAUAAACCAUUAUAAAGGAUUCCUACCUGAUGGUCUAUUCCAAAACUAUGGUUUAGGCAUUUACGGAGAAGAGCUUUGAAACAUGCGAGAGCUUCAUAUAGAGGCUCAUCGGGUCCUUGCAUGAAUUGGAAGAUCUCACACUUAAGCUUUAGCAUGGUGUCAGGCGGGUAGUACUUGUCGAGGAAGAGUACCACUAGAUCCUUCCAAUUGGUGGUUUUAUCUGCAGGCAGACAAUCAUACCAUUCUUUAGCAGCAUCAGUUUAGGAAAAGGGAAAAAGUCUUACACUCACAAUAUCAUCAUCAACACAAUUGAUCUUAGUUGUAUUAGUUAUUUCCACGAACUUGGUGAGAUGUCGAUUUGCGUCCUCAGUGUCUCUUCCUACGAAGGCAUUUUGUUCAACUCUAUUGAUCAAGGGUAUCCCCAACUUGAAUUUGUUGGCCUCUAUCUGCGGACCUACAGGUAUAUCCACAAUGUUACCAUGACUAAACAUAUUCAUAACUGGAACUACCUCCCUUGCACGUUUUUCUUUUUCAGCUUUUGCUCGAGCUCUCUCUACUUGCAUCUCUUCCACCUCCUUUCGGAAGCGACGAUAAGAUCAUGGUUGGUCAGGUUGCGAGUUGGCAUUCUUCACUUCAAUUUCCUUUGAUUCCCUCUGUCUGCCGCAGGCGUCGCAGGUCAACUCCGCCUCCGGCCUAUCUGGGCUUGGCGUGGAGGCCAUGAACUCCCCGCAGCCAUCGACCGCAUGGAGUCCGAGAUGAGCUGCAUGGUUAUUCAUGCACUCCAUGUAGACGACUCCAUCUUCAUCCCUCGGGGCAAAUUGUUGUCUGAGCACAAUUAUCUUUUUCGCCAUUGCCUGAUUUUUCUUUCAAAAUUAAGUUACAAAGUAUAAAAAUGAUAGAACAGUUUGUAUCAUGAAGAAGAAUUGAACACACAAGGAUGCAUAUGUAUUUAUAUACAUAAUCAUCCACUAAAAUGCAAAAUUGGUCACUUGCUCAAAUUAUAUUUUGGUUUGAUACAUUAAAUGUGUAAUUAGCUUUUCAUCAUUAACAAAAUAUUUUGGUUUA